AGGGCAGCAGUAGGGAUCUUUCCGCAAUGGACGCAAGUCUGACGGAGCAACGCCGCGUGAGUGAUGAAGGUUUUCGGAUCGUAAAGCUCUGUUGCCAGGGAAGAACGCCAAGGAGAGUAACUGCUCUUUGGGUGACGGUACCUGAGAAGAAAGCCCCGGCUAACUACGUGCCAGCAGCCGCGGUAAUACGUAGGGGGCAAGCGUUGUCCGGAAUUAUUGGGCGUAAAGCGCGCGCAGGCGGUUUUUUAAGUCUGGUGUUUAAUCCCGAGGCUCAACCUCGGUUCGCACCGGAAACUGGGAGACUGGAGUGCAGGAGAGGAAAGUGGAAUUCCACGUGUAGCGGUGAAAUGCGUAGAGAUGUGGAGGAACACCAGUGGCGAAGGCGACUUUCUGGCCUGUAACUGACGCUGAGGCGCGAAAGCGUGGGGAGCAAACAGGAUUAGAUACCCUGGUAGUCCACGCCGUAAACGAUGCAUGCUAGGUGUUAGGGGUUUCGAUACCCUUGGUGCCGAAGUUAACACAGUAAGCAU
rnacentral:rRNA from 1 species